rnacentral:rRNA from 1 species
GUGGGGAAUAUUGCGCAAUGGGGGAAACCCUGACGCAGCAACGCCGCGUGAGUGAUGAAGGCUUUCGAGUCGUAAAACUCUGUCUUUGGGGACGAAUAAUGACGGUACCCAAGGAGGAAGCCCCGGCUAACUACGUGCCAGCAGCCGCGGUAAUACGUAGGGGGCGAGCGUUGUCCGGAAUCACUGGGCGUAAAGGGCGCGUAGGCGGUUUGUUAAGUCAGGUGUGAAAGUUUUCAGCUUAACUGGAAAAGUGCACUUGAAACUAACUUACUUGAGUACUGGAGAGGUAAGCGGAAUUCCUAGUGUAGCGGUGAAAUGCGUAGAUAUUAGGAAGAACACCGGUGGCGAAGGCGGCUUACUGGACAGAGACUGACGCUGAGGCGCGAAAGCGUGGGGAGCGAACAGGAUUAGAAACCCGAGUAGUCC